rnacentral:rRNA from 1 species
AUAGCGUAUAUUAAAGUUGUUGCAGUUAAAAAGCUCGUAGUUGAAUUUUGGGCCUGGUUGGUCGGUCUGCCUUUGGUAUGAACUGAUCGACUGGGCCUUUCCUUCUGGCGAACUAUUGUGCUAUUCAUUUAGUGCGAUAGGGAACCAGGACUUUUACUUUGAAAAAAUUAGAGUGUUUAAAGCAGGCUUACGCUUGAAUACAUUAGCAUGGAAUAAUAGAAUAGGACUUUGGUUUUAUUUUGUUGGUUUCUAAGACCGAAGUAAUGAUUAAUAGGGAUAGUUGGGGGCAUUAGUAUUUAAUCGUCAGAGGUGAAAUUCUUGGAUUGAUUAAAGACUAACUUCUG